rnacentral:rRNA from 1 species
AUGGGACGUGUGUUGCAUGCAUGUAAGAUCGUGCAAGUGAUGGGACAGCGGCGUGCACUAGAGACCUGGGUGUCGGAGAGAAAUACUGUGGCUAGGCUGGAGUACGUGGAAGUGCAGGCGAAGGGAGGGCACACGUGGACUUGGAUUGCACGCAAAGUAUAUAUAGAACAAGAGAAGACCGAGAAUCGCCUAAAAUCGGGAAUGAACAGAUCCAAUCUUGCUUCUCCUUAUUUUUUUGAUUUUCUUUCCAGAUUACGGAGAAACUUGCGGCGGAAAAUACGGUGGGCAAAAACAAAGUUUGAUCUAGCAAACGAUUUUCCCUCCAACCAAUCUAAACCAGCACUAAUACUAGGAUGGAUGCAACCAAGAAUUCUAUUACACAAAUACUAUAUGCAAAAAUUGCUAGAGUCUAAUAAGAUAGGUGCAAUGGAUGAACUAAUUUAUUUAUUUUUGGCUUUUUAUUGGGUUAUAGGACAGAAAAAUCUAAUCUAA